GGAGGAGGAGGUAUAUAUAUUUUUUUUUUAUUUUUUUUAAUUGGGACACAGAGUAGCUGUUGACAUUAUAGUUGCUCAGGCACUUUGUUGACUCUAGAGAACCUCGAGCCAAUCGCACAUCCCCGUGACGGCGACUUUGCAUUCGGAUGUCAUCCAUAUCAACUUUCGAUGCCAGUUUCUGCGCCUACCAUGGUGACCAUGGGUAACGGGGAAUCAGGGUUUCAUUCCGUACAGGGACCCUGAGAAACGGCUACCACAUGUAAGGAAGGCAGCAGGCGCGCAAAUGACCCACUCCCACGCGGGAAUAUAUUGAC